rnacentral:lncRNA from 1 species
UCUGUUUCUGUUACUUUUUCUUGUGAUCACUGAACUUCCGCUUUCCUCUCUCUUCACAAGAAAUUUUUUAGAAUUAGAGACAAAACCAAGAAGAGGAAACCUUUGCAACCCUUCCUCUCAGAAGAAUGUAUUUUUUGGUGAUCCUGGCUUUUCUAGGACGAAUUACUGGUGAGACUUUCUUUCAUCAUUAUGAAAAUGGAAAUUUCACACUUACGUGCAAUGAAACAGUGGCUAAUGGGAAGAAGGAAACAGUUUGGUAUGAAACUGGAGAAUCUCUGCAAGAAUUCCAAGUAAUCAACUACUGCAGUAAUCAACAGCCCAAAGUAAUCAACGGACCAAACAAAUGCUCUGAUAAAACAAAGUGUACAAACCAAUUAUCAUAUUCUGCUUCCAAAGGUGGUGGGGUAUUUGCAUGUGAGCAAUUUACAAAUACUGGAACAUCACAGACUUGCCCACUCUUUACCAUUGUGGCUCACUGCAGACAUUAUACCUUUUUUAUCGUGGUGAUAAUAAACAUGACUGCAGGUGAG